UGAAGAAUGAUGUGGUGAUCACUAGAAAGAGAUUUUUUAAAAAGUUCGUGGUGACAUGAGUAUGUUCACAGGCUCAGAGAUCAACAAAUGAGGGACAAAAUAAGACAAUGUCUGAGAAGAGGCUACUGGGUUGAUGAACUCUGUGAGAACAGAGCCGAUGGAGUAGUAAGAAGCAAAUGAAGUGGGAGUAGUAGAUUUCAGUUCUAAAACUCCUCUGCUUAGCUUAGGGCUCAAAAUGUGAGGUUUCUGAGAGGUUUCAGGCUGCAGCUUGCAGUUCAGAGAAGAAUGUUCACAAGAAAAGUAGGAUAAAGGAAGAGGAAGUUGACUUAAACCACAAUAGGCCUGGCUCAGAUUAGAUGGGAGGCUCAACUUCCUGCCAGAGGAGCACCAGUUCAUGUGAAGAGAAGUGAGAAAAUCUCCUUAUUUGUGAUCCCCCAAAACUUAGAAAUAAUUCUCCUGCUUUGGAGUAAAAAUUGAUAUGAUCCAGCCUGAAGGCAUCAAAAGACUAAAAUGAAGCUUUCAAGUGGCAUGCAGAUGGAAGAAAAAUUGGUUUGAACUCCAGCUCAGCUGAUUACUUGAAGGUCUUCCUAUGUUGCCUAGGCUGGAGUGUGGUUGCUAUUCAUAGGUGAUCAUAGUGCACUACAGCCUUGAACUCCUGGGCUCCAGUGAUCCUCCUGCCUCAGCCUCUCCAGUAGCUGGGACUACAGACACCAAGGGCCCUUCAAAACACACAACCUUCUUGCUCACGGCAUAAAGCCCAGUUCCAUCUGGCCUCUGCAGGUUGGCUCAGCACUGGGGAACCAGUGUCCCCUCCAUGACCAAGGCACCACUCCACUGACAGGUCCGGGGGAUGAGCCAAGGUCCUUUUGAGCUCCGGUAUGGGAACCUCUGGAAAGCUUAGCAACACUUUCCAACAACUUUGCCAGGUAAGUCUUCUUGUCCUCAUUUCCAGAGAAGACAACUGAAGCCCAAAGAAAGACUUGCCCAAGCCAUGAUUAUCUAGUUGACGACCAAGACAGCAUCAGAACACAAGUUUGUCUAAUUUUUUCAUACCAUAUCUGGUGACCAUAACUGCUGCUUUUGCUGCUGGGUGACUUAGGCUGGAUUGAGUAGGUAGAAAAGAGCCUUAGUUUUAAGGUUACUGAUAGAACUUAAAUUGAAGGGGUAUGUUACCCUCUUACAUUCAAUUAAAGAGUUGAACAAGAAAAAACAUUGAGUAUUUUCUUGCUGAAAGACAAGGCUGAAUCCCUCUGUCUUGCCUUGGCUGGGACAGGGCUUUCUGGUCUCAUGGGGGCAGUUUUCCAUUUUUGGUAACCUUGAGAUGUUUGCCACUUUUCAAUUGACAGUAUUUGAUGUAGACCAGCUACCUGCUCACAGAUAAACUGCC
rnacentral:lncRNA from 1 species